rnacentral:rRNA from 1 species
UAGAGCUGGCGGCAUGCCUUACACAUGCAAGUCGAGCGGCAGCGCGGGGGCAACCCUGGCGGCGAGCGGCGAACGGGUGAGUAAUGCAUCGGAACGUGUGCCUCUUGUGGGGGAUAACCAGUCGAAAGAUUGGCUAAUACCGCAUGAGAUCGUAGAGAUGAAAGCAGGGGACCGCAAGGCCCUUGCGCGAGAGGAGCGGCCGAUGCCGGAUUAGCUAGUUGGUGGGGUAAAGGCCUACCAAGGCGACGAUCCGUAGCUGGUCUGAGAGGACGACCAGCCACACUGGGACUGAGACACGGCCCAUACUCCUACGGGAGGCAGCAGUGGGGAAUUUUGGACAAUGGGGGCAACCCUGAUCCAGCCAUGCCGNGUGUGUGAAGAAGGCCUUCGGGUUGUAAAGCACUUUCNGACGGAACGAAAUCGCGCGAUCUAAUAAGUCGCGUGGAUGACGGUACCGUAAGAAGAAGCACCGGCUAACUACGUGCCAGCAGCCGCGGUAAUAACGUANGGUGCCGAGCGUUAAUCCGAAUUACUGGGCGUAAAGUUGUGCGCAAGUGGCUGAACAAGUUCGAGUGUGAAAUCCCCGGGCUUAACUUGGGGAAUUGCCGCUCC